GAGCGAGGAGAUGUAUAAGAAGUGGACAGCCCGAACACCAAUAAAUGCCCAAAUGGGGUGUCAGCGAUUGAAGGUGGAAGAUGAGCCGAUUGAGCCAUGAUGUCAACCUCAUGAAUCCUUUUUACACAGCAUAUUACUCUCACCCAGACAUUAGCAGAUGAUCUGGAAUCUGAGAGUAGAAUCCUUUGGGAAAAACUGAAAGUGGCCUUGAAGCAAAUCUACAUGAUGAUUCAACAAAUAAAAAUAUAAAACCAGAG